rnacentral:rRNA from 1 species
UACGGAGGGGGCUAGCGUUGUUCGGAAUUACUGGGCGUAAAGCGCACGUAGGCGGCUUUGUAAGUUAGAGGUGAAAGCCCAGGGCUCAACCCUGGAAUUGCCUUUAAGACUGCAUCGCUUGAACAUCGGAGAGGUAAGUGGAAUUCCGAGUGUAGAGGUGAAAUUCGUAGAUAUUCGGAAGAACACCAGUGGCGAAGGCGAGUCUCUGGACGACACCUGACACUGAGGCACGAAAGCUAGGGGAGCAAACAGG